CUCAGCUCAAGCAACCCUCCCACUUCGGCCUCCCAGAGUGCUGGGAUUGCAGGCGUGAGCCACCAUACUCAGCCUGUUACUAUUUAUUGAUCUCUCUGUUCCCUUUGGCGUUGUUCUAAUGGUGUCGUGCAAAUUGAGAAUAAGGUAAUUUUUUUUCUAACUCAAUAAAAUGGCAUCGUAGAAGACAUUCCUAUAAUCAAGCAGUUGUUUUCUUUGGAAAUUUAACAGUUCUUUUUUAGAAUACUUUAGAGACCCAAAAUAUAUCAGUUAUUAAUUCUUUCCUCUCCUUUCUAUCAGGUUGUGUGACCCUAGUUACUAUAGGCUCUUAUGUAAAACGAGCUCUUUGCAGGUAAACACCUCUGUUCAAAUUACAUUCUGUAAUUGCUCAGCCCUCACAGACAGAAAACUCACAAGGAUCACAUUUAGGAACCUGUCAUGCCUGGUCCAGGUCCUCAUCGCAUCCGGUCAGUCAGGCAAGCAGACAGUCUCAAGGCCUUCAAGACUUUGCACGAAGCUGCUGAUCUGACACUUUCCAUUCUUCAGGGACUGCAUUUCAAGACUUGUAGGAGGAGAUCAACUCCAUCAAGGGACCUUCACCAAGGAGAACAUCUGCUCAACCACCUGCAGUGCAAGUGUGGUCAGAGACAAAUCCCUCUUCCUACACCCUGCCCUCACCCUUGCUCAUCUCUGAAGACACUCAGCGGGCACUGGAGAGGAACAUGACUACAUUCUAGAAGAGUGUCUCCUGUCUUCUAUUUCCAGAGUGGCCCUACUAUGGAACUAAGCCACUGGACUUCAAAGGUUUGUGUAUCAUUUACAACUGAUCUUAUUGUACUUUUUGUUAGAAAAGUAUUUGAAUGAAUGAAAGAAGUGUAAGAUGACGGAUGAAUACAUUCCCAUAGAUGAACGCUCAUUCUACCCCUGGGACUAUUUAUCAAGCAUUACAAAUCUUUGCAAAUUUCUAAUUAAUCUGUGUAAAUCUCAUCACCCCUCAUUGUCUUUAAAAUAUGCAUUUUAGAAUGACAUUUCAGCUAUUCACUGCUUUAUAGAAGCUUCUAUAACUUGUUUUGGAAAAUAGGCAUACAGCAUGGUGUCAUGGGAACAGGCAUGUAGCAUGGUGUCGUGGGAACGGGCAUGUAGCAUGGUGUCGUGGGAACAGGCGUGUAACAGUGGUGUCAUGGGAACGGGCGUGUAGCAUGGUGUCGUGGGAAUGGGCGUGUAGCAUGGUGUCGUGGGAACGGGCGUGUAACAUGGUGUUGUGGGAAUAGGAGUGUAGCAUGGUGCUGUGGGAGCAGGUGUGUAGCAGUGGUGUUGUGGGGACGGGCGUGUAGCAGUGGUGUUUUGGGAUGCUCAUGUGCUGUGCUCCUGCAACUCUGGCCAGGAGGGACUCAGGAAAUCCUAAGACUAUCCAUUUGGUUAACAUUUUAGGAAAAAACUGAUUACUAUACUGGCACUAAAAAUGUUUGUCAGCCAGGCUCUUUGGGGUGUUACCUAUGGACUUGUGUAAACGUUUUGAAUUCCAAAUAAAUACAAUUCUUCUAUUUGUGCCUCUGGUGUGUCUGAGAUGGAAAUGUCCAGAUGACAGCGGAAACUUACACAGGCAAAUGGGAAAAUUCAGUCGUAAAGUGUUGUGGUGGCCUUUUAAAAAAUACAAAACUAGGCUUUUCUGUUCAUCCUACAUCUGCUUGAAGAGUGUGGAAGUGUGGAGUGCAAUCUAUGCUAGAAAGAGAAAAUGAGAAAAUAGCUUGUGGAGAGAUUAGGGAACAUUUGCUACCAAUUAUGGCUUUCAGUCCUGAAGCCAAGUCUUGAAUUCGACUCAGCAAAAUGAAAUAAUGAAUCUUUCACCGAGUGUGCUUUCAUCUUCGGCUGAGAUUUAAUAUAACAUUUGGUAUUUUGAAUGUAGCUUUUGACGCUCCAGGAAGGGAAAGCAGCUCCGAGUUGUUUGUUUUCCCUGAGCUUCCGUCUUGUUUGGGGUGUCAGUAACACCAGAGCCUAUGACAGGCAGCUGAUCGCGGGGGAAGUACAGCCAAAAGGAAGAUCCCAGCCAAGCCAUGAACUUUAGUUCAAAUGCUCAUCUUUGGCAGACAAUGCCAUCCCUUGUGUGGACGAAAAACAGGGACAGAGCUUUGUAUGGGAAUGGUAAUGACAAUAUGCCCUAAGAUUCACUUUCUUAUUAAUGCAGGGUUUGUGCUACCGCACCAUGAAAGACAACUGUGUAUUUACUGAAAACAGGGUCAUAUUCAUUGUGUGGUGUCCUGGAAAAAUACGAGAUCCUUCCAAAACUCAAAAUCUCCUCUAAAAUUUAAUGCCCAUUAAAGGAUGUGAGCUUAAUCCUCAGAUUAGAAGACCCUGUUUAGAAAUUUUUCAUUGUUUAUUCUAAUGAUCUGGGCCUUUUUGACCCCCUGAGCCCUUGACCUUGAUCCCUACCCUCUUUAUGAAACUCCCUACUCCCUUUAUGAAACUCCGAUUUUCCUUGGGUUUCUUGGCUAUUCUCUCAAUGGAAGUUCCUUCUCUCUUGACACUUACAAAUGUUUGCCUUCGAGGCCUCUUCUCUUGAUUCUCAACACCAUUUUUCUUAUAGAGUGAAUUCUCUUCCAGUUUAAAUAAUUACAAAAUCUCUAUUCCAAAGCUUAUCUUGCCCCCUGAGCUCUGCUUUCCUAUUUCUCUAUUUCUUUUUGAUUGUUUGUUUGAAACAGGGUCUCGCUCUGUCAC